UCGGUUUCUACGCUAAUUAAUUAUGCAAGGGUAAACUAUUUAAGGUCUCAACGCAAGUAUUACUUUGACCUGUUUUGCGUUAAAGUUUAACAGGAUGUUUUUAACAUCGUUAUGGGUGUUUGGAUGAUCUGUUAAACUUUAACACCAAAUGUUGGAAUUGACAUCAUUACCCCUCAUUACUCCGAGGUAUUUUACACGAUCAUUUAGUUGUCCGCUACCUACCGUAUGGUAUGUAUCUACACCAGCAGCAGACGCGGAAGAACGAGGAGAAGAAAGAUCUCUGAAAAGGCCCUCUGUAAAAUCUCCUUGUCUCCUCCCAGCGCGUCCCCGUUCCAUUACAAGAAAAGAUCGUGGCAGGAAGCGAUCCAAUUCUCAAUUAGAGGUCGAGAACUUUAGCAUCCUGAGUUCUCGAAUUGAGGGCAACCUGCUGGGAUUCGGAGCAUACGGGGGUCGGCUUUGCGCGAUUUGAGGCGGACAGGGGGCACACCUAGUGAGCUCUUGAUCGAAUCGGCGGUGCUUCGGGUUCAAUCCGAGAACCAUUCUGCUCCCUGCGCAUGUGAGCUUCUUGCCUUGUGCAGCCGCGCUCACCUGCAUAGAAGGCGAAUUGGCGGCGGUGCUGCUCCACCUCGACCCGCCGGAGAUCUGCCAGGUCGCCCGCCUCAACCGCGCCUUCCGCGGCGCGGCCUCCGCACGGCCCGG
rnacentral:lncRNA from 1 species